rnacentral:rRNA from 1 species
CCUACGGGCGGCAGCAGUGGGGAAUAUUGCACAAUGGGGGAAACCCUGAUGCAGCCAUGCCGCGUGUGUGAAGAAGGCCUUCGGGUUGUAAAGCACUUUCAGCGGGGAGGAAGGUGUGGUGGUUAAUAACCGCAGCAAUUGACGUUACCCGCAGAAGAAGCACCGGCUAACUCCGUGCCAGCAGCCGCGGUAAUACGGAGGGUGCAAGCGUUAAUCGGAAUUACUGGGCGUAAAGCGCACGCAGGCGGUCUGUUAAGUCAGAUGUGAAAUCCCCGGGCUCAACCUGGGAACUGCAUUCGAAACUGGCAGACUAGAGUCUUGUAGAGGGGGGUAGAAUUCCAGGUGUAGCGGUGAAAUGCGUAGAGAUCUGGAGGAAUACCGGUGGCGAAGGCGGCCCCCUGGACAAAGACUGACGCUCAGGUGCGAAAGCGUGGGGAGCAAACAGGAUUAGAUACCCUUGUAGUC